UGCUAAGUGGCUUCAGUCAUGUCUGACUCUGUGACUCCAUGGACUGUAACCCACCAGGUUCCUCUGUCCAUGUGAUUCUCCAGGCAAGAAUACUGGAGUGGGUUGCUGUGCCCUCCUCCAGGAGAUCUUCCCGACCCAGGGAUUGAACCCAUGUUUCUUACAUCUUCUGAAAUGGCAGGAGGGUUCUUUACCACGAGUGCCACCUGGGAAGCCCAAAUUUUCCACAGUAUAGAACCAUAAUUCACUAAGGCCCUAUGGAUGGACAUGAAACAAACAAACAAAAAAUACAGCUUUAAAGAGAAACAAACAGAAAAAAGCUCCAAAUUUCAUUAAUUUUUUUUUUCCUUUUCACUGCUCACCAUGGAGGCCAAAACACAGAAGUCUGAUUAUAAUGACCUGCUAUGUUUACCUUACUAAAGACCAAACACCUUUUGGAAUAACAAGACUGAAGGACAAAGCUCAGAAGCUUUAUUCAUCAAACAAACCAUGGCAUGCCAGAAAACACUUAUUUGGAGAAGUAUAUCAGCGUUUUGGUGUUUCUCCCUCCAAAGAUUAAUGUUUAACGAUGGGAAAUGCAAGAAGGAAUGUAGUGGGUGUUGGGUAUUGGCCUUUUCAGUCUGUUUCACGGCAGCUGCGUGCGUCCUGCCCUCAUUCCCAGGUGGGACACAGCUCAGCUUCUUCUUUUUCUCUUUAAGGCUGAGUAGCUUCAGAGUGGAUAAUGUCUGACGGAAACCCUGGAAAACAACGCUGACCCCUCCCCACACCCUCGUGCUGGAAACCUACAUUUCUGCUCUUGUGGCUCCAUGUUGCCAGCUGUAUCACUCCAGGGUGCUGACUGAGUCUUUCUGAAUCUAACUGCUUGCAAACAAUCAAAACACCUGACCAGUUCAUCUCCCAGAGCUGUGUUAGCAAACAAGAGGGUCCAUGUGAAAAUCAUAUUUCAUCAGCUACAUUCAGUGUAGAGACAGGAGGGGCAGGAAGAUGCUACGUAAGGCAAGUGAGAGAUGGAGUCAGCCAGCCUGGGCGGCAUUUGGUCCCCUUCUCUGACGGACCAUCGUAGCCCUAGGUUUAUGGCCGAGUUUCUUCUGUUCAGUGGUUGAAAUAAGGAGGAUGUCCUCCAGCAGCAUUUUGAGGACAAGGGAUAAACAGAAGUAAAAGCCCUCCAAAAUGUUCAUCUCCAUCUUUUCUACCUUUGUAUUAUUCCUUCCACCCAUCCUGUGAUAAACAUAAGGGCUUCAAACCAAACCAAGGAGCUCAGGCUAGUAGGAUGGAGAAGGCAAUGGCAACCCACUCCAGGACUCUUGCCUGGAAAAUCCUAUGGACGGAGGAGCCUGCAGCCAGUGGAACCAACACUGGGCUGGCGUGGACUGGGAUUGAUAGUAACCUGCUGUGUGACCUUAGGGAACUCACCAGACUUUUCUGGGCUUCAGAGGCCUUUCAGCAUCAUCAUUCCAAUGAAGGGAGGACAUGUGCCAAGGAGUGUCCAGCACUGUGGAGCCACACAAAGUCGGGGCAAACGAUGGAGAAUCUGGAGCCCCAGCCUUUAUGGCUGCUUUGCCAAGAAUCCAUUCUGGGCAGGAGACAGGGAUCUGGGCUCCAACCCUCCAGUCAUGGUUCUGAAAAGCCAAGGGAAGACUCUAGAAAUGUUUUCUGGGAAAGCAAGGAGCAAGUAUUCAGGCUCAUCUAUGCAACCCUAGGAGCUGCCCAGAACCUCCACACUAGCUCUGCUCAGCUUCACAGGACAGUAAACUUUCCCACCAGCACUGGACGUGCCGAUAGUUCACUUGGGUGCCCAAGCUUCCCUUUCAUUGGGGUGAGAAAGAUAAAUCUAAAUACAGGAAAUUGCAGCCCAGUCUUGAACACAGGAAAACUGUUCACAUUUGCCUCAGUUUAACUUAAUCACCUCACUAGGAAGGAUGAGCUAACAAAGGAAAGAACUGGCUGGAAAACAGUCGGGAAGGAAAGGAAAAAGUCGUUCAAGGAUGGUCCCGGUGGUCAGUCGGAAAGGUGGGCGACUCUGGCUUUGAAAACGGUUCACACUCUGCCCAUUUACUUCCAUGCCCUCCCUCGGACUGCUCCAAAACAGACGAUUCAACUGAGUCCCUUUGUAUCCGGUUUUAUUGCUCCGGACCCCUAGGGUCUCACAAGAAACGUGCCCUGCCGAGCCGCUCUCGGAGGCGGCCUCUCCAGCGUUCCCGCUUCUCCCUCGGGGCGGGGAAAGGGAGGGGAGGAGAGGCCGGCCGCAGAGCACGGG
ensembl:lncRNA